GGUUUUAAAUUGGAUGAAAAGUUUUAUUUUAACUUAAAAAAUUAAGUUAUUUACUAUUUAUAUGUAAAUUUUUGUAUGAAUAAAUAAAAAUUUAAAUAAUUUUUAGUAUUAUUAUGCGCAGUAUGUAAAAUUAAAAAUUUACGAAAGUAAGAUUUAGGGUUAAAUAAGAGUUUUGACAAAUUUUGUGCCAGCAGUAGCGGUUAUACAAGGGAUGCAAUUAUUUAUUAUUAAUUUUUAGUUUAUUAUAUAUAAUUUAUUUUUUUUAAUAUAAUUAUAAGGUGAAAUUUUUAUUUUAUAUUUUUUAAUUAAGUAUUUAUUUGAAGCUAUUAAAUUUUAUUUUUAAACUAGGAUUAGAUACCCUAUUAUUUUAAAAUGUUAAUUUAUGAUUUAGUUAUUAGUAGUUAUGAUCUUUAAAGCUUAAAAAUUUGGCGGUAUUUUAGUCUUUUCAGAGGAACCUGUCCUGUAAUCGAUAGUCCACGAUAAAUUGAACUUAUUUUAAUAGUUUGUAUAUCGUUGUAGUUGAGUAUUUCAUUAGAAUAAAAAUAUUCAUAAUUAAUUAUUAUUAAUUAAAUCAAAUCAAGGCGCAGCUUAUAAAUAAGAAUGAGAUGGGUUACAAUAAAUUAUAUUUAUAAUGAAUUUGUAGUUGAAAACUAUAAUAAAGGUGGAUUUGAAAGUAAUUAAGAAAAAUUAUUUUUAAUGAUUUUGGCUCUAAAAUAUGCACAUAUUGCCCGUCGCUUUCAAAUAAAUUGAAAUAAGUCGUAACAUAGUAGAGGUACUGGAAGGUGUUUCUAGAAAACA
rnacentral:ncRNA from 1 species